rnacentral:rRNA from 1 species
UACGGAGGGUGCAAGCGUUAUCCGGAUUCACUGGGUUUAAAGGGUGCGUAGGUGGGAAUGUAAGUCAGUGGUGAAAUCUCCGUGCUUAACAUGGAAACUGCCAUUGAUACUAUGUUUCUUGAAUUAUCUGGAGGUCAGCGGAAUAUGUCAUGUAGCAGUGAAAUGCUUAGAUAUGACAUAGAACACCAAUUGCGAAGGCAGCUGGCUACAGGUAUAUUGACACUGAGGCACGAAAGCGUGGGGAUCAAACAGG